GAUGAACGCUGGCGGCGUGCCUAAUACAUGCAAGUCGAGCGAACAGACGAGGAGCUUGCUCCUCUGACGUUAGCGGCGGACGGGUGAGUAACACGUGGAUAACCUACCUAUAAGACUGGGAUAACUUCGGGAAACCGGAGCUAAUACCGGAUAAUAUAUUGAACCGCAUGGUUCAAUAGUGAAAGACGGUUUUGCUGUCACUUAUAGAUGGAACCGCGCCGCAUUAGCUAGUUGGUAAGGUAACGGCUUACCAAGGCAACGAUGCGUAGCCGACCUGAGAGGGUGAUCAGCCACACUGGAACUGAGACACGGUCCAGACUCCUACGGGAGGCAGCAGUAGGGAAUCUUCCGCAAUGGGCGAAAGCCUGACCGAGCCACGCCGCGUGAGUGAAGAAGGUCUUCGGAUCGUAAAACUCUGUUAUUAGGGAAGAACAAAUGUGUAAGUAACUAUGCACGUCUUGACGGUACCUAAACAGAAAGCCACGGCUAACUACGUG
rnacentral:rRNA from 1 species